CUCCUUUUCCUCUCUUCAGGUUGUUAUUAUCUGCUACUAUUCCUUAAUCAUUUUUAAUGUCAUUUUGUGAAUGCUGAUACAAGAAGACUCUCAAUGGAUCGAGUUGUUCAUAAAUUGUAAAUCUUUGAGUUGUCAUUGCACCAGCUCAAGUCCAGUGGUCAUUGGCAGUUUCUAAUUGUAGGUAUUAUCGUAUACUUGUUGUUACUGAUGUUGAGCACACCAUUCUAUAUAUAGGACUGAUCUCACACAUGGGGGGAAAUACAGUCUGGAAGAACCUCAAUAGGUUGUUAUUAUCUGCUACUAUUCCUGAAUCAUUAAUUCAUUAUUAAGGUCAUUUUGUGAAUCCCGGUACAAGAAGACUCUCAAUCGAGUUGUUUAUAAAUUGUAAUUAAUCCUAACAGACUAAUACAUGUAACUAUCUUUUGGACCACCUCAAGUUGGAAAUUGGCAAGUAUAGAUUAACCUCUUAAAGCUAGAGAGAGGGUAUAAUUAUGUUAAUUACAUUUUUGCUGGCUGCCGUUACAAGUAUAUAUAUAUAUAUACUCAGAGUUAUGUUGUUCUUGCUAAUAUUGAGCACUCAGGACUGAUCACACGUGGGAGAAAAUAGUCUUGAAGAAAGCCU